rnacentral:misc_RNA from 1 species
GAAAUGCGAUAAGUAAUGUGAAUUGCAGAAUUCAGUGAAUCAUCGAAUCUUUGAACGCACAUUGCGCCCCUUGGUAUUCCGGGGGGCAUGCCUGUUCGAGCGUCAUUUCAACCCUCAAGCACAGCUUGGUAUUGAGCCCAUGUCAGCGAUGGCAGGCUCCAAAAUCAGUGGCGGCGCCGCUGGGUCCCGAACGUAGUAAUAUCUCUCGUUACGGGCGCUCGGUGUGCUUCUGCCAAAACCCUUCUCACUUCAAUGGUUGACCUCGGAUCAGGUAGGGAUACCCGCUGAACUUAA